rnacentral:tRNA from 1 species
AAGGCUUUAGCUUAAUUAAAGUAUCUGAUUUGCAUUCAGAAGAUGAGGGUUAGUGUCCCGCAAGUCUUA